rnacentral:rRNA from 1 species
AUUGAACGCUGGCGGCAUGCUUUACACAUGCAAGUCGAACGGCAGCGCGGGGGCAACCCUGGCGGCGAGUGGCGAACGGGUGAGUAAUGCAUCGGAACGUAUCCUGUAAUGGGGGAUAACGUAGCGAAAGUUACGCUAAUACCGCAUACGCUCGAGAGAGGAAAGUGGGGGAUCGCAAGACCUCACGUUAUAGGAGCGGCCGAUGUCCGAUUAGCUAGUUGGUGGGGUAAAGGCCUACCAAGGCGACGAUCGGUAGCUGGUCUGAGAGGAUGAUCAGCCACACUGGGACUGAGACACGGCCCAGACUCCUACGGGAGGCAGCAGUGGGGAAUUUUGGACAAUGGGCGAAAGCCUGAUCCAGCCAUGCCGCGUGCGGGAAGAAGGC